rnacentral:rRNA from 1 species
UAGAGUUUGAUCCUGGCUCAGAUUGAACGCUGGCGGCAUGCCUUACACAUGCAAGUCGAACGACGCUAGGGGCAACUCUAGCGAGUGGCGUACGGGUGAGUAAUGCAUCGGAACGUAUCCUCUUGUGGGGGAUAACCAGUCGAAAGAUUGGCUAAUACCGCAUGAGCUCGAGAGAGGAAAGCGGGGGAUCCGCAAGGACCUCGCGCAGGAGGAGCGGCCGAUGCCCGAUUAGCUAGUUGGUGGGGUAAAAGCCCACCAAGGCGACGAUCGGUAGCUGGUCUGAGAGGACGACCAGCCACACUGGGACUGAGACACGGCCCAGACUCCUACGGGAGGCAGCAGUGGGGAAUUUUGGACAAUGGGGGCAACCCUGAUCCAGCCAUGCCGCGUGUGUGAAGAAGGCCUUCGGGUUGUAAAGCACUUUCGGACGGAACGAAAUCGCGCGGGUGAACAAUCCGCGUGGAUGACGGUACCGUAAGAAGAAGCACCGGCUAACUACGUGCCAGCAGCCCCGGUCAA